rnacentral:rRNA from 1 species
AGUGAACGCUGGCGGUAGGCCUAACACAUGCAAGUCGAACGGCAGCACAGAGGAGCUUGCUCCUUGGGUGGCGAGUGGCGGACGGGUGAGGAAUACAUCGGAAUCUACUCUGUCGUGGGGGAUAACGCAGGGAAACUUACGCUAAUACCGCAUACGACCUACGGGUGAAAGCAGGGGACCUUCGGGCCUUGCGCGAUUGAAUGAGCCGAUGUCGGAUUAGCUAGUUGGCGGGGUAAAGGCCCACCAAGGCGACGAUCCGUAGCUGGUCUGAGAGGAUGAUCAGCCACACUGGAAAUGAGACACGGUCCAGGCUCCUACGGGAGGCAGCAGUGGGGAAUAUUGGACAAUGGGCGCAAGCCUGAUCCAGCCAUACCGCGUGGGUGAAGAAGGCCUUCGGGUUGUAAAGCCCUUUUGUUGGGAAAGAAAUCCAGCUGGCUAAUACCCGGUUGGGAUGACGGUACCCAAAGAAUAAGCACCGGCUAACUUCGUGCCAGCCGCCGCAGUAA